rnacentral:tRNA from 1 species
UGACCCCCGCCCACCCUUAGCGAC